rnacentral:tRNA from 1 species
ACGGAGCGUGGCGCAGCCCGGUUAGCGCACCGGUCUGGGGGACCGGGGGUCGCGAGUUCAAAUCUCGCGCUCCGACC